GAUGAACGCUAGCGGCAGGCCUAACACAUGCAAGUCAGGGGUAACAUAGGAAAGCUUGCUUUUCUGAUGACGACCGGCGCACGGGUGCGUAACGCGUAUACAACCUACCUUUUAGCGGGGAAUAGCCCAGGGAAACUUGGAUUAAUGCCCCAUAGUAUAUGGACUUCUCCUGAAGUUUAUAUUAAACAUUUAUGGCUAUUAGAUGGGUAUGCGUCCUAUUAGUUAGUUGGUAAGGUAACGGCUUACCAAGGCAGCGAUAGGUAGGGGUCCUGAGAGGGAGAUCCCCACACUGGUACUGAGACACGGACCAGACUCCUACGGGAGGCAGCAGUGAGGAAUAUUGGACAAUGGGCGAGAGCCUGAUCCAGCCAUGCCGCGUGCAGGAAGACUGCCCUAUGGGUUGUAAACUGCUUUUACAGAGGAAGAACCACCCCCACGUGUGGGGGUUUGACGGUACUCUGCGAAUAAGGAUCGGCUAACUCCGUG
rnacentral:rRNA from 1 species